rnacentral:rRNA from 1 species
GACGAACGCUGGCGGCGUGCUUAACACAUGCAAGUCGAACGAUGACGGAGAGCUUGCUCUUCUGAUUAGUGGCGAACGGGUGAGUAACACGUGAGUAACCUGCCCUUGACUCUGGGAUAAGCACUGGAAACGGUGUCUAAUACCGGAUACGAGCUUCAGCCGCAUGGCUAGGAGCUGGAAAGAAUUUUGGUCAAGGAUGGACUCGCGGCCUAUCAGCUAGUUGGUGAGGUAACGGCCCACCAAGGCGACGACGGGUAGCCGGCCUGAGAGGGUGACCGGCCACACUGGGACUGAGACACGGCCCAGACUCCUACGGGAGGCAGCAGUGGGGAAUAUUGCACAAUGGGCGAAAGCCUGAUGCAGCAACGCCGCGUGAGGGACGACGGCCUUCGGGUUGUAAACCUCUUUUAGUAGGGAAGAAGCGAAAGUGACGGUACCUGCAGAAAAAGCACCGGCUAACUACGUGCCAGCAGCCGCGGUAAUACGUAGGGUGCAAGCGUUGUCCGGAAUUAUUGGGCGUAAAGAGCUCGUAGGCGGUUUGUCGCGUCUGCUGUGAAAACCCGAGGCUCAACCUCGGGCCUGCAGUGGGUACGGGCAGACUAGAGUGCGGUAGGGGAGAUUGGAAUUCCUGGUGUAGCGGUGGAAUGCGCAGAUAUCAGGAGGAACACCGAUGGCGAAGGCAGAUCUCUGGGCCGUAACUGACGCUGAGGAGCGAAAGCAUGGGGAGCGAACAGGAUUAGAUACCCUGGUAGUCC